GUUCCCAUGGCGUAGUGGUCACUGCGCUCGCCUUGCACGCGGGAGACCCGGGUUCGAUUCCCGGCGGGGUCA
rfam:Asian citrus Psyllid, Diaphorina citri - Florida Strain, whole genome shotgun sequence.